rnacentral:rRNA from 1 species
AUUGAACGCUGGCGGCAUGCCUUACACAUGCAAGUCGAACGGCAGCACGGGAGCAAUCCUGGUGGCGAGUGGCGAACGGGUGAGUAAUACAUCGGAACGUGCCCAGUAGUGGGGGAUAACUGCUCGAAAGAGCAGCUAAUACCGCAUACGACCUGAGGGUGAAAGCGGGGGAUCGCAAGACAUCGCGCUAUUGGAGCGGCCGAUGUCAGAUUAGCUAGUUGGUGGGGUAAAGGCCUACCAAGGCAACGAUCUGUAGUUGGUCUGAGAGGACGACCAGCCACACUGGGACUGAGACACGGCCCAGACUCCUACGGGAGGCAGCAGUGGGGAAUUUUGGACAAUGGGGGCAACCCUGAUCCAGCAAUGCCGCGUGCAGGAAGAAGGCCUUCGGGUUGUAAACUGCUUUUGUCAGGGAAGAAAUCCUCUGGGUUAAUACCUCGGGGGGAUGACGGUACCUGAAGAAUAAGCACCGGCUAACUACGUGCCAGCCGCCGCUGUAAAAC